rnacentral:sRNA from 1 species
GCUGGGCGCGGUGGCACACGCCUGUAAUCCUAGCAACUCGGGAAGCUGAAGUAGGAGGAUUGAAAGUUCAAAGCCAGCCUCAA